rnacentral:lncRNA from 1 species
UGAGAGGCUGAUGGCCAUGGAGAUAAGAUUCUAGCCUUUUAGGGCAAACAGGGGCUCCUUGGUGGAGGAUGUAACAAGAGCCUCUGCUAUCCUCUCCAGUCUGGAAAGCGGUCAGUUUCCAUACUCCAGCUGAAUGGAGCAAUGGAAAGAUGCCCAUGUUCUAUUUUGUGGAACUUGAGAAUAUGGAAUCUUCAAAUCGGACUUCACAAGUGGGAGAUGAAAGCACAAACACGAGAAAUGGCAGCAGAGGAACGAGUCAGCGAGGUGCUCUCCUGCCUCUUGUCCCUCGGUGAGAGAGGCCCCACGCUGGGCCACCGGCCGAGCAGGAUAUGGUCUUUUGGGAAGAGAGAACCUUAAUUGAGAAAAUGCCCUCACUCAUGAGAUGGGCUUGUGGUCCUGCCUGUUGGGCACUCUUUUGAUUAAUGGCUCAAUUGGGAAGGCCAAGCUCACUGUGGUGGUGCUGUGGCAGGUGACUCUGGGGUACAAAAGAAGCAGACUGCACAGCCACGAGGAAUAAGACAACAACAGCAUCCUCCAUGGCUUCCGUUCCUGCCCUGACUUCUGAUGACAGACUGUGAUGUGGAAGUGUAAGCUGAAUAAACCUAAGUUGGUUUUGGUCUUGUUUUAUCACAGCAAUAGAAACCCUCUCUUAGACAAUGGGCAAUGCAUAUUUCAAGGUUAUAGGCUGAACAUGUGCUUUUCUGAUUUGCAAAGCCCUCAUUCUUACCUAAACACCGGUGAUUGGCUUUGGUUU